GGGCAGAGUCGCGACUGCCUGUAACCCGUGUGGGCACUAAGGAAGAGUGGAGUUCCUCCUCGCCUCGUCGGUCCUGGACCAUCGAUGCAGAAAUCGGGUCUGUCACGAGAUCGCUGUCAUCAUGGGUAUCCCGGAGGAGUUCGGGAUAACCAGGAUGGUUAAU
rnacentral:SRP_RNA from 1 species